GUCAUCACUUCAUUUUUUUGCGCCUGCGCAUAAAUCUGAGAAACGUGAGUUUGUCAUCAUUUUUUAUCUAGACAUAGGAUAGGUUGUGUGAAAAUAUUACUGAUGUUUAACGUUAAAAAUGGACCAAAAGAUUAAUGCUAAACAACAUUUGACAUGUUUGAACGAACAUAAAUAGAUUAUUUACUAGGUUUUUUAGCUUUUCGGCGUGAUUUUACCAGCCCCCCAACCACGUUUUGUGGGAGCAUAAUGAACGCUAAGUACUUGGUGUUAUUUGGACAUAAAUUAUGAACUUUGUCAAAAGAAACCACAUUUGUUCCGGACCUGGAAUGCCUUCCGGACCUGGGAUCCUGCCUUCUGAUGGAGAUAAUCAAAGUGCGUACUGGGGUACCAGCCGGGUUCUGGCGCCUUGGCAUCAGAGUCAGACCGAGGCUCCUGCGGGGGACGACUGGUUCAGGCGCGCGGAGGAG
rnacentral:lncRNA from 1 species